rnacentral:lncRNA from 1 species
UGGAAGAAAGCCCAGCACUGUUGUUGGACUUAUUUUAAAAAGUUCCUCUGACUUCAACAGAAAUCCCAACAAGUCAUUCUGGACCCUGACUACUGGACUACUGGAGGUGUCUGCUAUUUUGUCUCUCCUUUGCUCCCUUCUACCCAGAGACAUAAUGUUUGUUUAUUUAUUUAUUUAAAGAUUUUAUUUAUUUAUUCAUGAGAGACACACCACACAGAGAGAGAGAGAGAGAGAGAGAGAGGCAGUCAUAGGCAGAGGGAAAAGCAGGCUCCAUGCAGAAGCCCGACGUGGGACUCGAUCCCGGGACCACAGGAUCAUGACCUGGGCCAAAGGCAGACGCUCAACCGCUGAGCCAGCCGGGUGCCCUGAGACGGGGUGUUUAAAGGAUCACCACCAUCUCUCCCGGCUCCAUUUGUACCACGAUCUUGAUUAAGAAUAAGAAGCAUCCAAAAGCAGCAAGCAUGUGUCAGCCCCUGGAGGCCAUGAAGAAGACCACUCUAUGAGUUUCAAGACCCUCAGAACUACUACUCUUUUCUGAAAACCCUGUACCCACCUGAAACUGUUACGACAUGUGUGAUUGCAUCACAUUAUUUCUGUGAGUAUAUUUUGUGAAGUAUGAACCAAAUCUUCCCUACUGUCUUCCCUACUUUCUUUUAACCUAUUACACUUCCUCAUUUUGGCUAUUAGAUAAUAAGGUUUCUGAUAGUCAAAGAAGGAUUAGAAUGAGUGUAAGACUAAAAGAUUUGAAAGAAUGCAUGUAAAUCCAGUUUUGUUCACCUUCAUCCAGAGGAAAAAGAGGGGAAAAAUAAAUAAAUAAACCUUCUGGAUUGAGGAAAACCAAAGGAAUUUGAAGAGAAGCAUAAGCAAUGCUGGUAAAUGUUUGAUAACUUGCUUUUGAGGGGGUAAAGACUGUGAAUUGUAAUGUUUUCCAACUUCUAUGCUAUAAAUACUCUUGGUGUGGCUAUUUUCAAGCUACUGAAGUGCCAUCACUCAAUGCAGAAUUGAGAGGAGAUGCUGGCAAUUGACCCUCACAAGGUGGUGUGUGCCAACUCCUUACAGACCAUCAUAAGUGAUAGUGACUGUUGAAGAUCUUUGAGAAGAGACCUCACUGACCACCUCUACUAUUUAGCUUCAAUAGGGACUUUUGGGGACUCUAUUCUACAACCAUAACAACAUGUAAGAGUUAAAAAUGGGUGUGUGGGUCAGUAUCAGACAUAAUUGAGGAACUUACACUGAGUCACUUCAGAG